rnacentral:tmRNA from 1 species
GGGGGUGACUGGCUUUGACAGCGUGACGAAGCGGAGAGCAAGCAUGCAGAGCGUUGACAUUGACGCUCUAUAAUAUCUCGGUGUCGACCUAUAACUGGCGAAAAUAACAACUACGCUCUCGCUGCCUAAACUGAAGUAUAGUAGGUUUGCUUAAUCUCUGCCAAAGUGGGCAGAGACGUGACAUCACCCCAUUGCCCCGUUCCGAGACGUUUGGAUAAGGUGGUGCUAAGAAAUUCGGAAAUAGAGAGCAUGGAUUCUCGACAUGUUCUCGAGAUUUAGAGAAUAAGCUUAUCAUUGGUAGCUGCGAGCCUGUGAUAAGACGAAAACAAAGUCGAUAGCUAAGCAUGUAGAAACCUCUACGAUUCCACGUUUGGACGAGGGUUCAAUCCCCUCCACCUCCACUA